rnacentral:rRNA from 1 species
UGGGGAAUAUUGCACAAUGGGCGCAAGCCUGAUGCAGCCAUGCCGCGUGUGUGAAGAAAGGCCUUCGGGUUGUAAAGCAACUUUCAGCGAGGAGGAAGGUGGUGAGCUUAAUACGCUCAUCAAUUGACGUUACUCGCAGAAGAAGCACCGGCUAACUCCGUGCCAGCAGCCGCGGUAAUACGGAGGGUGCAAGCGUUAAUCGGAAUUACUGGGCGUAAAGCGCACGCAGGCGGUUUGUUAAGUCAGAUGUGAAAUCCCCCGGGCUCAACCUGGGAACUGCAUUUGAAACUGGCAAGCUAGAGUCUCGUAGAGGGGGGCUAGAAUUCCAGGUGUAGCGGUGAAAUGCGUAGAGAUCUGGAGGAAUACCGGUGGCGAAGGCGGCCCCCCUGGACGAAGACUGACGCUCAGGUGCGAAAGCGU